rnacentral:piRNA from 1 species
UACAUGAACUACAUACUUUAC